rnacentral:rRNA from 1 species
GACGAACGCUGGCGGCGUGCUUAACACAUGCAAGUCGAACGGAAAGGCCCUGCUUUUGUGGGGUGCUCGAGUGGCGAACGGGUGAGUAACACGUGAGUAACCUGCCCUUGACUUUGGGAUAACUUCAGGAAACUGGGGCUAAUACCGGAUAGGAGCUCCUGCUGCAUGGUGGGGGUUGGAAAGUUUCGGCGGUUGGGGAUGGACUCGCGGCUUAUCAGCUUGUUGGUGGGGUAGUGGCUUACCAAGGCUUUGACGGGUAGCCGGCCUGAGAGGGUGACCGGCCACAUUGGGACUGAGAUACGGCCCAGACUCCUACGGGAGGCAGCAGUGGGGAAUAUUGCACUAUGGGCGGAAGCCUGAUGCAGCAACGCCGCGUGCGGGAUGACGGCCUUCGGGUUGUAAACCGCUUUCGCCUGUGACGAAGCGUGAGUGACGGUAAUGGGUAAAGAAGCACCGGCUAACUACGUG